UACGUAGGGGGCAAGCGUUGUUCGGAAUUACUGGGCGUAAAGCGCACGUAGGCGGACUACUAAGUCAGGGGUGAAAUCCCGGGGCUCAACCCCGGAACUGCCUUUGAUACUGGUAGUCUCGAGUCCGGAAGAGGUGAGUGGAAUUCCGAGUGUAGAGGUGAAAUUCGUAGAUAUUCGGAAGAACACCAGUGGCGAAGGCGGCUCACUGGUCCGGUACUGACGCUGAGGUGCGAAAGCGUGGGGAGCAAACAGG
rnacentral:rRNA from 1 species